rfam:Drosophila virilis strain TSC#15010-1051.87 Ctg01_10545, whole genome shotgun sequence.
CAACGCUUGCACUUCUCAGAGUUAAAUGGCGCCUGAUGUAUCAUUUUCACCUUUGUCUUCUGUGCGCUUUUUCACAGACUCACAUGGCGCAACUCUCCUAGAUUCCGUUCGGACCCCUCUUGAUUCACCCACCCCCGACUCCCACCUACGCCCACUUACUCGAAAUCCUUGCCUACUAACCUAAUUAACUUGACUAUUAAUGGGAUUAGUUUUUUAACUAUUUAUAGUUAAUUAACGCAAUCCCGGGGCGCUCUAUAUAGUUAUGUAUAAUAAUAUUUAUAUUAUUUAUGCCUCUAACUGGAACGUACCUUGAGCAUAUAUGCUGUGACCCGAAAGAUGGUGAACUAUACUUGAUCAGGUUGAAGUCAGGGGAAACCCUGAUGGAAGACCGAAACAGUUCUGACGUGCAAAUCGAUUGUCAGAAUUGAGUAUAGGGGCGAAAGACCAAUCUAACCAUCUAGUAGCUGGUUCCUUCCGAAGUUUCCCUCAGGAUAGCUGGUGCAUUUAACUGUUGUAUAAAAUAAUCUUAUCUGGUAAAGCGAAUGAUUAGAGGCCUUAGGGUCGAAACGAUCUUAACCUAUUCUCAAACUUUAAAUGGGUAAGAACCUUAACUUUCUUGAUAUGAAGUUUAAGGUUAUGAUAUAAUGUGCCCAGUGGGCCACUUUUGGUAAGCAGAACUGGCGCUGUGGGAUGAACCAAACGUAAUGUUACGGUGCCCAAAUUAACAACUCAUACAGAAACCAUGAAAGGCGUUGGUUGCUUAAAACAUCAGGACGGUGAUCAUGGAAGUCGAAAUCCGCUUAAUGAUUUGUGUAACAACUCACCUGCCGAAGCAACUAUCCCUUAAAUUGGAUGGCGCUUAAGUUUGUAUACCUAUACAUUACCGCUAAAGUAGAUGGUUUAUAUUACUUGUAAUAUUAAAUUUUGAAACUUUUAGUGAUUAGGAUAGUACAAUGGUGUUGCAUAGAAGUGUUUGGCGUAAGCCUGCAUGGAGCCGCUAUUGGUACAGAUCUUGGUGGUAGUUGCAAAUUACCAAAAUGAAACCUUGGAGGACUGAAAUGGAAAAGGGUUUCUUGCCAAACGUUUUUGAUCAACGAUUUAUCUUGUCCUAAAUUUCAGGCAAAAGCCCGAAAUUUUUUAUGUAAAAAAAAUUCUUAAAUAUAUUUGUCAUCUAACCGAUUUUUAUACACUUGAAUAAUUUUGAACGAAAGGGAAUACGGUUCCAAUUCCGUAACCUGUUGAGUAUCCGUUUGUUAUUAAAUAUGGGCCUCGUGCUCAUCCUGGCAACAGGAACGACCAUAAAGAAGCCGUCGAGAGGUAUCGGAAGAGUUUUCUUUUCUGUUUUAUAGCCGUACUACCAUGGAAGUCUUUCGCAGAGAGAUAUGGUAGAUGGGCUAGAAGAGCAUGACAUAUACUGUUGUGUCGAUAUUUUCUCCUCGGACCUUGAAAAUUUAUGGUGGGGACACGCAAACUUCUCAACAGGCCGUACCAAUAUCCGCAGCUGGUCUCCAAGGUGAAGAGUCUCUAGUCGAUAGAAUAAUGUAGGUAAGGGAAGUCGGCAAAUUAGAUCCGUAACUUCGGGAUAAGGAUUGGCUCUGAAGAUUGAGAUAGUCGGGCUUGAUUGGGAAACAAUAACAUGGUUUAUGUGCUCGUUCUGGGUAAAUAAAGUUUCUAUCAUUUAUGGUAGUUUCUUGUUCCCCGGAUAGUUUAGUUACGUUACCCAUUGUGGGACCUUUCUUGCUAAAUUUUUUAAGAAUACUAGUUGGGGGCUACCAAUUAGUUUUUUUUAAUUUAUACCGAUUAUUCAAUUUAACAAAUCAAUUCAAAAACUGGCCCGAAACUUUGGGGAAUCCCAAUGGUUUAAAUUAAAAAAAAAAACUUUGUGUGGGGCCCCCUUUUCGGGGGAA